CAGCGCCACAAGUGGUAAUCACGAUUAUUGGGCCUAAAGCGUCCGUAGCUGGUCUGAAAAAUCUUUUGUGAAAUUGUUUAGCUCAACUAAACAACGUGCAGAAGACACUCUUAGACUUGGAACCGGAGAGGGGUUAGAGGUAUUAUUGGGGUAGCGGUAAAAUGUUAUAAUCCUUUUAAGACCACCGAUGGCGAGGGCAUCUAACCAGAACGGGUUCGACAGUGAGGGACGAAAGCCAGGGGAGCAAACCGGAUUAGAUACCCGAGUAGUCC
rnacentral:rRNA from 1 species